rnacentral:lncRNA from 1 species
CGCCUGCAAUAUACAAGAAAUGUUAACUCUUCUCUCUCAACACUUUCUUUGUGACGUUUUCGGGUACUGACAUAAUAUAAUUGGUCAAGUUUCUUACUAAGUAAUAGAUCAAUCAAGAAUCUCAAUAUAUUUCAUCACUGUUGAGUUCGAUAAGAGACAAAAAUCUGCAUUUACCCUCUUAAAUAAUGCAGUCUACCUUUUGAUGGAGAGAUUUAAUGUCGGUACCUUUUGGGGUAUCCCAUUGUUGGUAGAAAUUGUCAAAAUCAACAUAGUAAUAAAUCAAUUUCAAUCAACAUAGUAAUAAAUCAAUUUCAAUCAACAUAGUAAUAAAUCAAUUUCGGACCUAAAGUUUAGAUGUUCAAAUCUCCGUUCGUAAUUGGACUAAAAAAUUCUUUCAAACUUCAUACAUUUGAAAAAAAGGCUUUGACCUACUCACUGAGCGAAGAUGCAUGCUUCAUACAGGUAGUGAGGCCAUGCAUACUCAUGGGAUGAUCUUUUUCCCUUUUUGAAGUAAUGAUCAUUGAAUAGGACCCCUCAAUUUGAAAUGAGAUAUUUUAAGAACAGAGUAGGGAAAGGGGAUUUCAAAAAAUGAAGUAAACAAAUAUCAUAGGUUAGCUUUAAUCUUGAUAUGUUUCAUGGUACUAAAAGCAAAGGGCUGCGAAAACAGCUUCCUGAAAUCAAAGAAUUGAUAAAUGCUACCUUCUCUUUUGCUCUAG